rnacentral:lncRNA from 1 species
UAUCAUAUGUAAUGUUGGAUAUUUAGCUGUUUUUUUUUUUUUUUUUGUAAACUAGGAGGGGGUUUGGGUUUGAGAUUUAAUCCCCCAAGACCCGAAACCAACCUUUGCUAAUACCUGGUAACAUGGUGUAAAACAUCCCUCCCACCUGGAAUCGAACUAGAAGUACAUGAGACCAACCCCUGCAGUUAACCACUAGCCCAC